UCCACCCCCUCUUCCCAAUCCGUGGGCCCAGGACCUGUCCCCUCAGUGGCCUAAUUGAGGGCUCCCUAGCCUGGGGCAAAAGGUUCUAACCUCUCCCUUUGGUCCAUUUUGGGGGCCGCUACCUAAGGAUUUGACAGAGAAGCACACAGGUGACACUCGGGUUACAAUCCAAGCCUUUUAUCUUUCUGCCAAUCCAAAUGCCCCCUCCUCCAUGAAGCCUUCCUGGACUUCAGGGAGAGUCGGCCCUUCUUUCCUGUGCCCCAGUCACCCUGGCCCGCCUUCACGUCACAACUAACACUUCGAGCCUGGAGCCAAGCGUAGAGCCCGGCAGAGGAUGCUGAACCAGCUGUGGUGACAUCACAGGCGGGGCUGCAGCCCAGGGCACUUAGAGCGACAUUCGAAGGCAUUCCAACGAGAAUGAAGCCCUUCCUAGCCAGAGGGUACGCUGGGCCACCGAAGCCUCGGUCUCCCCAGCAGUGCAAUGGGUCCAGCAACACCCUUCCUGUGACCUUCCAAGGUCAAAGAGAUCAGUGGACUUAAAGGCACUUAGAAAACUCUACAUGAAGAUAUGUUAUUAACAUGAACAUUACCAUCCAUUU